CAUGGUUGUGCAAAACAGCAUGGGGAUAGCAGCUUGCAGUUGUUAUCUAUUGUCACAAAGUGUUAUCAACAAAGGAAUGAAUCCACUGGAAACAAGAUAGAAGACACAGCACACAUGCCACAGUUUACACAAUGGAAAACAGUCAUCAAGUCUUUCCAAGUGCAUAAGGUCGUACUGUUACCUGUUGUGGAUCUGAGAGUUGAAGUGACAGUGGAGGAUGUCAUUGAAGGCAAGCAGUCGUCGUCUUGGGAAUACCCAGCCUGAAUUGCACGCAGCAAACAACAGAAGGUUCCACCCACUCUACCAACAUGGUGGCAUCUACAGUAUCUCUCAAUCCUCCUACUCCUCCAGGGCUCCUGGUGUUCCCCCUGUGAGGGGCCUGCGUGGGACUCACCUGGCUGACGCAGCUUGCCUGACUGAGGGUGCUAACCGCGCGCAUGUAGCUCUGGUUCCGGGAUCGGAACUGAGGGCCGAGGGGUAUAUGGUGUUGGGGGUAGUUGGUGGCUGGGUCCAGGGUGACACUGGGAUGGGGCCGCAUCAUGUCUCGGGUGGUUUGCAAGUGGUAGCUCUGACUGUACAGAGAGAGAGAGACAGAGAGAGAGAGUGGAUAGACAAAUAUGAGAGGCAUUGUGAGUCAGACACAGGGCUGUGGUGGUCAUGAAAUUUUGUCAACCGGUUAUAGUCAUGCAAAAGACUGCCGGUCUCACGAUAAUUGACUGUUAAUUAACAAACACGUUUAGCAUCUCCAGGCCUCCACACAUAUUGUACAAGCCGCUGAUGUGCGCCUUUGGAACAUCUACAUUCAAAAAAGUAUCAUGAAUAAAUGCAAUAUAUAUCAUCGCAAUAAAUCUCUUAUUUAUUCUAAACAUGAUCAUAUUAAGAAAAUGUAUUUCAGAAUAUGAGUUGGCCUACUGUUUCUUAUCUGGCAAAGCACCAUACAUUGGUUGUAGGCUUGUUCACUUAGCAGACAAGAUACAAGUCCCGUGCCACUAUUUUACAGAGGAUGUUUCGACAUUUUGUUACGUUACAAACUUAUUCUAAAAUGGAUUAAAUAAAAACCUUUACUCAGCAAUCUACACACAAUACCCCAUAAUGACAAAGCGAAAACAGGUAUACAUUUUUUUGAAAAUGAAUUAAAAAUCAAAAACAACUU